rnacentral:tRNA from 1 species
GGCGCUGUGGCUCAAGUGGUAGAGCGCUAGCCUUGAGCCUGAGGUCCUGGGUUCGAUUCCUCAGCACCA